rnacentral:rRNA from 1 species
GCAGUAGCCGCGGUAAUACAGAGGGUGCGAGCGUUAAUCGGAUUUACUGGGCGUAAAGCGUGCGUAGGCGGCUUUUUAAGUCGGAUGUGAAAUCCCUGAGCUUAACUUAGGAAUUGCAUUCGAUACUGGGAAGCUAGAGUAUGGGAGAGGAUGGUAGAAUUCCAGGUGUAGCGGUGAAAUGCGUAGAGAUCUGGAGGAAUACCGAUGGCGAAGGCAGCCAUCUGGCCUAAUACUGACGCUGAGGUACGAAAGCAUGGGGAGCAAACAGGAUUAGAGACCCCCGUAGUCCCUGUCUCUUAUCA